AUCAACUUUCGAUGGUAGGAUAGAGGCCUACCAUGGUAGUAACGGGUAACGGGGUGUUAGGGCACGACACCGGAGAGGGAGCCUGAGAAACGGCUACCACAUCCAAGGACGGCAGCAGGCGCGCAAAUUACCCAAUCCCGACACGGGGAGGUAGUGACAAUAAAUAACAAUACGGGGUCCUUACGGGUCUCGUAAUUGGAAUGAGUACAAUUUAAAUCUCUUAACGAGGAACAAUUGGAGGGCAAGUCUGGUGCCAGCAGCCGCGGUAAUUCCAGCUCCAAUAGCGUAUAUUAAAGUUGUUGCAGUUAAAAAGCUCGUAGUUGAAUUUCGGGAUCAAUUUAUCGGUCGUGCCAAUGGUAUGAACUGGUACAAUUGGUUUCUCCCUUCUGAUGAAGCUCGAUGUCAUUAACUUGGUGUCGUGGGGAAUCAGGACUGUUACUUUGAAAAAAUUAGAGUGUUUAAAGCAGGCCUUGGCUUGAAUACAUUAGCAUGGAAUAAUGAAAUAGGACGUUUGAUCCUAUUUCGUUGGUUUCUAGGAUCGACGUAAUGAUUAAUAGGGAUAGUUGGGGGCAUUAGUAUUCAAUUGUCAGAGGUGAAAUUCUUGGAUUUAUUGAAGACUAACUACUGCGAAAGCAUUUGCCAAGGAUGUUUUCAUUAAUCAAGAACGAAAGUUAGGGGAUCGAAGACGAUCAGAUACCGUCGUAGUCUUAACCAUAAACUAUGCCGACUAGGGAUCGGAUGAUGUUAAUUUUUUAAUGACUCAUUCGGCGCCUUACGGGAAACCAAAGUGUUUGGGUUC
rnacentral:rRNA from 1 species